GACAGAGGUGGCAAGCGUUGUUCGGAAUUACUGGGCGUAAAGGGCGCGUAGGCGGUCCCGUCAGUCCCUUGUGAAAUCCCCCGGCUCAACUGGGGAACUGCAAGGGAUACAGCGGGGCUUGAGUUCGGGAGAGGGAAGCGGAAUUCCGGGUGUAGCGGUGAAAUGCGUAGAUAUCCGGAGGAACACCGGUGGCGAAGGCGGAUCGUCUGGGCCGUAACUGACGCUGAGGAGCGAAAGCAUGGGGAGCGAAACAGGG
rnacentral:rRNA from 1 species